rnacentral:lncRNA from 1 species
GUCAGGGUGUCCUGGAAGGUGCUGAUGGAGGGGUAUGACUCCGUCAGUUCUGAGUUCCAGAGGCCACUUUGACUCCAGGAUGAAGGAUGGCAGUGAGUAAUUCAAGGAAGAGCUGUCACAGGUAUCCCUGUGUCCAGGUGGAGGCCAUGGGGCUAGAAGCAGGCCUGCAGUUGUGUGAAGGAGGGGAGGUGGAGCAAAGAGAUGGUAGAGAGUGCGCAGGGCCCUUGAGGGAUUCAGGUUUCGGGUAGGGAUGCUUAUGCAGCCAGUAGGCAGGGCCUCUGAGACAGCCAGUGCCCACUCUACCCCAGCCUAGGCCACUGGGCUCAGUGGGCUUAGGCUGGAAGGCCCCAGAGGAAAUCUCAACCCCAGCUCAGAUUCCCUGCCAUUCCCAGCAUCUGCCCAUCCACCCUCCCUCUUGCGGCCAAGGCAGGACUUGAUCUUUCUCCACUAGCUACGGAGCUGGGGGACAGCAUAGGCUGCCACCAGUGAGCACAGAUGCAGUAUGCACCAGCAGCGAAUGAGGGACCCUGCUGCCUCUGGAGGUCACAGGUGCCUGUUGUUCCCGCCUCUACUGACUGUGACCCCUGUGAUCAGGGCUCCAACAUGGAGUCUGGAGUGGUGGGACGACUGGCCAUGCCUGAUCAGUGCCCAGCCUUAGCUGCAAGGGAGGCAGGAAGGUGGCUGGUUCUGGCAUAGUUCGUCUAAGUAGUGGAAGCUGGGUUCUUCCUCAUGAGUGGAGAAUUCCCCACACAGAGGAGGAAGUUCCAGACUUUGGGUGGACAACAUGAAGGACGAAUGUCUACUUAUGGAGAUGUUGUUGAUAAAUGAUAUAAUCCAUGUAAAUAUGCUUAGCAAAACAUCUAGUAUAAGGAAAAUACUCAAUAAAUGUUUUCUAUUACCUGUGUGCUCAUAAGGGCUGGGGGUGGGCCUGUGUUUUGUUCUCUGCGUAUCCCGAGGGCCUGUCAUGGUACCUGGCGCACACUAGGAGCUUGACAAAUGUUGGCCUGUGAGUAUCUUGCCCUUCCCAGGGUCUGAGCUCUGCCCAGCCUUCCUCUCCUCUCCUUUUUCUUUGUUGCCCAGGCUGUGGCCAUGGCAUUUUCCAAGGAGGAGGCAAGUGCUGAUACCAGAAAGAGGAGGAGGAGCGAGGGGCCCGAAGCUCCGCUCCAACACCAGCUCACUGUGACCUUAGGUAAGUCGCCUCUACUCUCUUGGCCUGAGUUUCUCCAUCUGCAAAAUGGAUACAAUAACCUCAGCUACUUCACAUGUCUGAUGCAAGGGACAAAG